rnacentral:rRNA from 1 species
GACGAACGCUGGCGGCGUGCUUAACACAUGCAAGUCGAACGGAAAGGCCCUGCUUUUGUGGGGUGCUCGAGUGGCGAACGGGUGAGUAACACGUGAGUAACCUGCCCUUGACUUUGGGAUAACUUCAGGAAACUGGGGCUAAUACCGGAUAGGAGCUCCUGCUGCAUGGUGGGGGUUGGAAAGUUUCGGUGGUUGGGGAUGGACUCGCGGCUUAUCAGCUUGUUGGUGGGGUAGUGGCUUACCAAGGCUUUGACGGGUAGCCGGCCUGAGAGGGUGACCGGCCACAUUGGGACUGGGAUACGGCCAGGACUCCUACGGGAGGCAGCAGUGGGGAAUAUUGCACAAUGGGCGGAAGCCUGAUGCAGCAACGCCGCGUGCGGGAUGACGGCCUUCGGGUUGUAAACCGCUUUCGCCUGUGACGAAGCGUGAGUGACGGUAAUGGGUAAAGAAGCACCGGCUAACUACGUG